rnacentral:tRNA from 2 species
GCUUCCAUAGCUUAGUAGGUAGAGCACUUGCAUGGUAAGCAAGAGGUCGUCGGUUCGAUUCCGGCUGGAAGCA